GCGAUAGCUCUGUCGGUGGAGCAUGAGGCUCUUAAUUUCAGGGACGUGGGAUCAAGCCCUACGUUGGCCC